UACCGGUAGUAAAUGGAUGCCU
rnacentral:miRNA from 1 species